AUCGAUUUUCUGUGUGUCGUGCUCGUCGUGCUCGGCGUGUUCGGUGUCGUACAAUGAAAAAUUCUGCGAAUACGUUAAUCCCUGAGAGUUUAUCCGUAAUAAAUCCCGGAUCAUUUUCGACAACAUCAAGACCACGGAAAAUUUAGCGAUUCAUCUUAAUUUUUGUGCUGAUCCAGACACGACUUACAAUGAAAUCCAGUGGAUGCCGAUCGCUUUCAUCGCUUUUUAUCGGUAGAAACUUCGAUCAAAGUCCGAUCUGCUGCAAACGGAAUUCUUGGUGUUAAGUCGAGGUCAGGUUCGAGGUGCUAAUUCUUCAGUCGUGAACUCAAAUGUGGCCGAAGGCGCUGAAGUAUUCACUGUGCUGCGAGAGGAAACUGCUGUCAACGGUAAACAGUAUUAGCUUGUCCAGAACAAUUUCCAAAGCGGAUAAGGAUGACGAGCAUGCCGGAGGGAGCGAUUUACGAACGAAUCGGCAUGAACGCAGCGAAACAGGAUGAUGCACAAAUCGACUGUCAUCGACAUAUUUUAAAUAAUCUCCAAAAAGGAUCAGCACUUUCAGCGAUUAGGAAGCAUACGGCGUCACUUGGUGUCUUUCUAAAAACCUACGAUGCUCGUAGCUAAUCGUGGUGAUGGCGAUGACGAACCACUCACCAGAAGAUCGCUCUAGAACUCAACCCCUAAAGGCAGCUUUCGAAUAGAUGGGUUACGCUUCCUCCGACCCCCGGCUAACAAGAGCGAAUCAGUCGACUUCUUCAUCACCAGAAGGAACACAUCCGGAUGCACAAUCGGGUACAAUGCACAUACGGAUGCACAAUCGGGAUGCAAAGCACACGUACUUUGAAGACGGAGAAGGAAAACGUCACGUUGAAAAUAUUGAUCUACACUUCUUCCGACGAUUAUAUUCCUAGCAGUGCGGUCGUCGUUGAGCGUUUCGUAGAGUAUUCACUCCAACAUCAUUCUAGAGUACAGUCAGCAGCAGAACAAGAAAUCGCAGGAAGAGAAACAAGGAAAAAAGGAAUAAUCCACCUUUGGAGGAGGCACUGGAUGCUUUUAGACUUUCUACGUCGCAACCAGGACGACCGGAGAAACAAGACUGGUUCAUCUAGCUGAUGUUGAACCCGCUGAACUUCGGCAAUAGUUUGAACGUGUCGUAUUUACGUCAAAUGGUAAUGGCAACUGUUCCAAUAAUGGUAUAGACGAGAUGAGAUCUCCAUCAGAACCGAGACGGAUCGAAUGUGCACAAAUCGCAUUACUCGCACCGCGGAGAAAGUCUAAGAUCUGAAAUAUAAACCAUAACAUAUAUAGAAUAAUAUCAAUAAGUCAAAUAAAAACAACUUUUGAAUUUGUAAAUAUUAGUUUCAACAUAUAUUAAAAGCGCACACAAUUUGUUAUUUUGAAAGUAUCACUACUUGACACCAAUGUAAAAUACACAUUUAUU